UGAGGAUAUUGGUCAAUGGUCGAGAGACUGAACCAGCCAUGCCGCGUGAAGGUCACGGCCCUAUGGGUCUUAAACUUCUUUUGUAAGGGAGCAAUAAGUCUCACGUGUGGGAUGAUGAGAGUACCUUACGAAUAAGCAUCGGCUAACUCCGUGCCAGCAGCCGCGGUAAUACGGGGGAUGCAAGCGUUAUCCGGAUUUAUUGGGUGUAAAGGGAGCGCAGGCGGGACUGCAAGUUGGAAGUGAAAUACCGCAGCUUAACUGCGGAGCUGCUUCCAAAACUGUAGUUCUUGAGUGGAGUAGAGGUAGGCGGAAUUCCGAAUGUAGCGGUGAAAUGCGUAGAUAUUCGGAGGAACACCAGUGGCGAAGGCGGCCUACUGGGCUCUUACUGACGCUGAGGCUCGAAAGUGU
rnacentral:rRNA from 1 species